GGGUGAUGGGGACUGUAGGGAGUGAAGGGUUAGGGUAGGGGAUGAUGGGACUGUAGGGAGUGAAGGGUUAGGGUAGGGGGUGAUGGGACUGUAGGGAGUGAAGGGUUAGGGUAGGGGAUGAUGGGACAGUAGGGGUGAAGGGGUUAGGGUAGGGGGUGAUGGGACUGUAGGGAGUGAAGGGUUAGGGUAGGGGAUGAUGGGACAGUAGGGGGUGAAGGGUUAGGAUAGGGGGUGAUGGGACUAUAGGGAGUGAAGGGUUAGGGUAGGGGGUGAUGGGACUUAGGGGUUAGGGUAGGGGGUGAUGGGACUGUAGGGAGUGAAGGGUUAGGGUAGGGGGUGAUGGGACUGUAGGGAGUGAAGGGUUAGGGUAGGGGGUGAUGGGACUGUAGGGAGUGAAGGGUUAGGGUAGGGGGUGAUGGG